rnacentral:rRNA from 1 species
UACAGAGGGGGCAAGCGUUAUUCGGAAUUAUUGGGCGUAAAGGGCGCGUAGGCGGCUUUGCAAGUGACGGGUGAAAGCCCUCGGCUUAACCGAGGAACUGCCUGUCAGACUGUAAGGCUUGAGACCGGGAGAGGUGAGUGGAAUUCCCAGUGUAGCGGUGAAAUGCGUAGAUAUUGGGAGGAACACCAGUGGCGAAGGCGGCUCACUGGCCCGGUACUGACGCUGAGGCGCGAAAGCGUGGGGAGCAAACAGG